GUUGAAGAGCUGGGAGUGCCCUGGAUGGAUAGAUUUGGCAUCAACAAAAAGCUGUUUUUUCAGGUGGCGCACUGUAAGGAAAGAAAAGAAUACAACUGUGGAAAAAGAUGACAAAGGAUGUGCACCAAAUGCAACAUAAAGACAAAUAAUCAAACAAAUGGGGCUUAGGAGAAAAGAAGAGAAGAUGAAGGAUGUACACAUUUUCUAUCAUAGCUAUGCUAUGAAUGACCAUGAGAGGAAAAUAAAGAUACCAAAGAAAUAUUUGAAUCAGGUCAUGACCAAGUAGUACAGAAGAACAAACACUGCUUCUUCCAACGUAUAUAGGCUCUGAUGAAGAAAAAUGACAAAUUUAUGGAAAGAAAGAACAUUUCCUUCAGCAAGCAAAGAAAAUGGAAAAAUAGGAGAGAGAAAAGCUGCCCAUGAAUUGCAAGAAAUCAGAGUGGAGCUGGGAAAAAGUCCAGAAAAAUCUGAAACUUGCACAUGGCCAUCCAAAUGCAACAGUGUCCCCAGGGAAGAUGAUUUCCUGGGAUUUGGAUGUAGACACAGAACAAGAGAGUAUAAACAAGCUUGGAAAUGUAAUCCUUUCUCACGGCUUUAGAAUAACUAAAAUAAUUUUUAACAACAUUAAUUUGGUGACCUUCAAGUAAAUAUCCUUCCGAUAUUUAAAUUUGUAAUGCAAGACAGUGUAUAAAAAAAUUGAAAACAUCAUGUUGCUUGACAUCCAGAAGGAAUACAUUUGAAGGCAUUUAUUUCAUGGAUACCCAAAUGUAUAUAUGCCAUUUUCUUUUAGACGUCUACUUUUUUUUUUCUCUCAAAAGACUUUUAAAAAAUCACAACGUCAUGUUGAGAGGUAGGUUCUGGCUUUUAGGUAAAGUGCAUUAUCUAGCUAAGUGACUAAAUUCAUACUGUACCACAGUUGAGAAUCUUCAAAACUAUAUCUUUAAAAGUGAAGAUUUAUUCUUUCUGACUUUUGUAGGAAACAGCCAGAUGUGUAUCUUUUAAUUUAGAGUUCUAACAAAUCACUGGUUAUCUACCAAAUCACAGGUUAUAACUAAGACACACACACACACACACACACACACUACACACUACACACUCAUGUCUUCCUAGGCUGGAAAUAAGGAUUUAGUUGUCUAAGAUUAUAGUUUUCAUUUUCCUUUCUUUCCAGCAUCUGGUAGCUUAGAGUCAGACACACAGCAGUUACAUAAGGCAGACUCCCACUAGGCUCACAACCACAGCAUCUAAAUUAUUUUUCAGGUAGAACAAGAUGUUUCCUAUACCUAAGUUCACAUGAGAGAUGUUUUCUUUUCACUUUUUUAUUUAGAAAAAAAUUGGUAAAAUUUACAUAUAAGUAAGAAGCAUAUAUCUCAAACAGACCUUCUUAGGAUUAAAAGGAAAAGAAAAAAAACCCUUUUAGCUUACUAAGAUACUUUUGUUGAAAAACAGAACACUGCCUUAGGUCUAAGAAAGAAAUAAAAAUAAACACACAAUUAUGUUUAUUCCCGGUUGCACUGGACAAAAUCAGAAUGAUAGAGCCAGCCAAGCCAGAGACAGUAAUCUUCUUAAUCAAGAUUAUUCUUUAAGACUACAGAAAAACUGGGAAGACAGUUCAUUUGCAUUCUUUUCUUUUUUCCCCCCCACAAUGACUGGUGUUAAAAUUGAUCUUCAAUUACUAAUGUAAUUAUUCAUUUUCAGUGGUGAAAUGUAAUCAUUAGUUGUCUCACAAAUUGCUAUUAGUUCCCUUGCUAUAUUUAAAUUUUUAAAUUCAUUUCAAUAUAAUGAAUAUUUAUUUUAUUCUUACUAUCACAAACAUUUCAGAUUUACUUCCUUGUCUACAAUAUUCCCAUCUGUAAGCAACAUCCUAGUUAUAACCUUAACUGUUAAGAAUGUUUAUCCUGGAAUUGUACAUACUUAUCUCUGAUACAAGAGAGAACAUGAAAAGAACUUUAAAAGAGGUAGAAGUUUUAUAAAGUAAUCACAUUAUAACUGAAUAGUGUUUCCAAAAAUAUAUAUAGUAUCCCACAAACGCAUCUUCAAAUAAAUUAAAUAUUUCUCUGCUUUUUUAAACUUUAUAGCACCUGAUAAAUCACCGUGGAUUCCAUAGGAAAUAUUUCAAGAUGACUUGAAAAUUAAUGAGUUAGUAAGCUAGGUUCAAAGCUCAAGAAACCCAUGAAAAUGUUGAGGAACACUUAACUUUUGACUUUGCAAGCCUUGGAAGAGAAUUUUAUGACAAAAAUUAAACUAAAAUAGUAUGCAAUUAUAAACAUGAGUUUUAAUUUAACUUAUUUUUAUCACCUCAAACUCAUACUCUCAUUCCACACUUCUUUAAAGCACUGAUAUUUCAUGCCAUCAUAGCAAAUUAAACAAGAGGAUAGUUGGCUGAGAUCAUUUGAACUUAAUGGUAACAAAAUAUCAACUGUAAAUAUAAAUUUUGACUUAGAGGAUAUGUAAAAAUAUGACUCCCACUGGCUAUAACAUUAAUUGCUGAAAAACUAGAACUUUUUAAGAGUUUAUACAACUAAAAUUUAUAGUGAUAUACCCUUAACAUUUAGACCAUUAUUUAAAAUAAUUAAUUACGUGUUCUUUAUGGGAGAAUGACUUUAUUUCCAGAAGACAAAUGGAUAACUCAGUGGUAGAUAUGGUGUAUAUUUUUCUUUCAUGAUAAUUGUGGAUAGUCAAGAUCCAGGGAAAGAAUAUAGUGGAAAAGUAUCUUAGAAUUAUGAUUGAAAAUACAAAAUUUUUAAAGACAUUUAUAAGAUUUAAAACACUACACAUGAUUACAUAUCCAUUCAUUCCACAUUUAUUUAUUAAGUUAAUGUUGGCUAUCCUCUAGAGAUACUUCAGUUAAUAAAAUGUUCUUUUUAUACUUACCCAUUCUGUUUCUUGCCCGUUUAGAGUACAGGUAGAAACUUUCUGUGAAACAUAUUUACAAAUAGCCUUUAAAAGUCUGGUAUUAAAAAAAACAAAACAAAAAAAACAAAUAGCCUUUAAAAGUCUGGUAUUGAGUUUUAUAAGUUAUUCUUUUUUGUGUGUGUGUGGUACGCGGGCCUCUCACUGUUGUGGCCUCUCCGUUGCGGAGCACAGGCUCCGGACGCGCAGG